AGAACUGAAGGAGUGAUUAAGGUUAAAGUGGACACACUAACUUGUUUAUGAAUAUCCAAGACGAAACGUACAACCUUAAAAGGGUUACAUUCCUGGUUAUCUGUACCGAGCCAACUAAUAUUUAACAGAAUAAACAUUAUAAAUAAGUAAAAGUAAAAAAUUUAUCUCUGCAGAGUUUGCAAGAUCAAGGAUUAGUUUCAUUUAGAAAUCAGACUUUACACAAAUGAGAUGAAAAGUUAAACAUAAUUUCUGUCUCCAAUACGAAAUGCAGAUUGUCACACAUGUUCUUAAUACAUUUCUAACAGUAGAAUACUGAAUAAAAACAGGCUUUACAACUGGAAAAGCACCUUAAGAUUUGAAUUCAGGAAUAUUAUGUAAAUGUAAGAUUAUGUGACCAAGUGCAUAAACUGUCCAAUAAAUCCUAGAUCUAGAUGUCUUUACAAAUGUUGUUAUAAAGCACAGAAAGUCAGAAUGCAGAUUGUCUUUACAAAUAAUAUAGGAUGGCACUCAACUUGCUUCCAGAGGAAAAAGGAUUUUUGCUUAUAUUCUCAUUAUUACUAUACUGCUAAAGUUUUUACUACUUCUUACUACUCUUGUGCAUGAAAACCCUGGUUAAUAAAAUUGGAACAGACGGCUAAGAUAAUAAGAGAAAAUAUUUUCAAUGUUUAAAUUUUUUAGGGCAAAGAUCACCAAAUUGCCCCCAGAUGAUGCCUCCACCCUGUGACAAAAUGGCUGAGCCUCGGGACGCUAUGGAGCCUGAGAAGAACACCUGAGAGCUGAGAGUGGUUUGAUUAUAUUAUUUCUUGUCUUUUCUUUCAUAAUCUAAUUCCCAUGUAAGAGGAACCUGUUUAAGGGUCGCAUUGUAAAUUCAAACUGUUAUUUACUCAUGUUUUUUGUUUUCUUUCCUUGUGUCAUUAACAUAUAAUUGGGGAUUGAUGCAUUUCGAGGAAAAGGACCCAGGAACUCUGUGAUGAGAAGGACCUUACAGAGGAAUAGGAAAGAUUAUUGGAGGAUAUUUGGAAAUAUUAAUAAUUGCAGAUAAGAGAGAAGAUACAUCAAGACAAAAUGGGACUUUACUGCAACAAUCAAAAGUUCCCUUAUUUUAAUUUGAACAUUAAUUACAGAAAGUGGACUCAUGACAAAAAAAAAAAAAAAAACA